rnacentral:rRNA from 1 species
GAUGAACGCUGGCGGCGUGCUUAACACAUGCAAGUCGAGCGAUGAAGUUUCCUUCGGGAAACGGAUUAGCGGCGGACGGGUGAGUAACACGUGGGUAACCUGCCUCAUAGAGUGGAAUAGCCUUCCGAAAGGAAGAUUAAUACCGCAUAAUGUUGAAAGAUGGCAUCAUCAUUCAACCAAAGGAGCAAUCCGCUAUGAGAUGGACCCGCGGCGCAUUAGCUAGUUGGUGAGGUAACGGCUCACCAAGGCCACGAUGCAUAGCCGACCUGAGAGGGUGAUCGGCCACACUGGGACUGAGACACGGCCCAG